AUAAAUAUAAUCUGAAUUCUCAAAUAUUUUUCUUUGAUAUUUUGUCGAUGAACACACAAUUACACUUCAUAUAAUAGCGGUACCAUGAUUCAAUGAUUAACUAAGGACAAGGAUGUCUACAUGAUUCAUCUACUGCCGGUAGACUAUACGAGCUACGAUGCCUGGUGGAUUUUCAGCUGAACCUUUAACUGGUGAAGUAACAACUGCAAUUCGACGAUUGGACCCAUUAUCGGCUACAAUAUUUGCAUCGAUCUCAUGGCUAUCACAUAGGAAUAGUAAUAAGAGAAGCCCUGGGAGCUUUAAACUAAUUACAGAUAACAUUCGAUUUUAUGAUCAAAAUGUG
rnacentral:lncRNA from 1 species